CAGCAGCCGCGGGAAAACGAAGGGGGCUAGCGUUGUUCGGAAUUACUGGGCGUAAAGCGCACGUAGGCGGAUAUUUAAGUCAGGGGUGAAAUCCCGCAGCUCAACUGCGGAACUGCCUUUGAUACUGGGUAUCUUGAGUAUGGAAGAGGUUAGUGGAAUUGCGAGUGUAGAGGUGAAAUUCGUAGAUAUUCGCAGGAACACCAGUGGCGAAGGCGGCUAACUGGUCCAUAACUGACGCUGAGGUGCGAAAGCGUGGGGAGCAAACAGGAUUAGAUACCCCCGUAGUCCCUGUCUCUUAUAC
rnacentral:rRNA from 1 species